UACGUAGGGCGCGAGCGUUGUCCGGAAUUAUUGGGCGUAAAGAGCUCGUAGGCGGCCUGUUGCGUCUGCUGUGAAAUCCCGGGGCUUAACCCCGGGCGUGCAGUGGAUACGGGCAGGCUGGAGGCAGGCAGGGGAGAAUGGAAUUCCCGGUGUAGCGGUGAAAUGCGCAGAUAUCAGGAGGAACACCGGUGGCGAAGGCGGGUCUCUGGGCAACAACUGACGCUGAGGAGCGAAAGCGUGGGGGAGCGAACAGG
rnacentral:rRNA from 1 species